GAGUUCCAAGCCAGCUAGGGGCUACAUAGUGAGGCCCUGUCCAAAUAAAAUAAUAUAAAAAUGAGUAGGCUGUCUCUCUGGUCUUUCGAAGUUCCUGUGUGGUGUGCCACUACCCUGUGAAUUUUUACUUUCCUGGGAGUGUGUGUAUGAAAGCAAUGGGUUGCUAUGGAGACCUUUGUAUUUGGAAUAAUGUGAUCUGGCAUUCAGAAGAGAGGACAGAAUACUCCAUUGAGACACUAAGUGGAGACAGUAAAAGACCUUCUGCAAGGCAGCACCACUGUGCUGCAAAUGCUGCACCUCAAGGACUUUUUGAACAGAAAAAAGCCUCUGAGGAUGAAGAAGACCACCCUGCUUUCUUUAUGAGCAUUACAUCUAUGUUCAAGUCCCAAUAUAUGGCUGACACUAGCCUUGAACUUUGAAUGAUUCUUGUGUCUAAGUGCUGGGAUUGCAGGACUGGAAAUUUUGAACAGCUGGGUUUGUUUGUCCAGAAUGUUCCAUGUUGUGACUUUGAAUCAAACACAAUCUUCAAAAACUUAUUAAGACCUUCGCCUGAUCUCAAUGCUGGGGGCAGUAUGAAGCUGAAAGGAUUUCCAGCUCUAAUGACUUUGCCAGAUUGCUAUUUGCUGGUGGAAAGAUGGCAGCCUGAUUCAGUUUUAUGGGGUAGAAAGGAAGAAAUCAAAGUAUGCGAAUGAUUAAAUUGGAAGUCAUUUCCGUUGGAUGGUUGAGAAGAAGAGAAGAGUAAUUGAGAGACUCCUGAUUGAGAUUGUUUGCCAGAGAACGGAAGCUUACCAGGAAAUAGAAUGGUAAUUGAGGAAACAGACAGAGCCUUGUCCCCAUCCCCAGAGUACUACUCAAAUGGAUUGCCUGUGCUCCUGGAGAGUUGGAACAGACUGACUUCUUGUAUUAGAAAAUGUCUAAUUUAUGGAUCCAUUUCCCACUGAGAUUCUUGCUAGGUGCUGAAAUUCCUCUUACCCCAUUUCAACAUUUACAGGUAGUGUACUUAUACGUGUACUAAAUAAAAUCUGGUACAAUA